UCGGUGGUGUUACAUUCACGCUGUUGCAGGAGUACAGGUCGGUGGUGUUACACACAUUCAUGCUGUUGCAGGCGUGCAGGUCGGUGGUGUUACACAUUUUCACGCUGUUGCAGACGUGCAGGUCAGUGGUGUUACAUUCAUGCUGUUGCAGGCGUGCAGGUCGGUGGUGUUACAUUCACGCUGGUGCAGGCAUGCAGGUCGGUGGUGUUACACACAACGCUGUUGCAGGCGUGCAGGUCAGUGGUACACACAUUCACGCUAUUGCAGGCGUGCAGGCCGGUGGUGUUACAUUCACGCUGUUGCAGGCGUGCAGGUUGGUGUUACACACAUUCACACUUGCAGGCGUGCGGGUCGGUGGUGUUACACACAUUCAUGCUGUUGCAGGCGUGCAGGUCGGUGUUACACACAUUCACACUUGCAGGCGUGCAGGUCGGUGGUGUUACACACAUUCACACUGUUGCAGGCGUGCAGGUCCGUGGUGUUACACACAUGCUGUUGCAGGCGUGCAGGUCGGUGGUGUUACAUUCACACUGUUGCAGGUGUGCAGGUUGGUGUUACACACAUUCACACUGUUGCAGGCUUGCAGGUCGGUGGUGUUACACACAUUCACACUUGCAGGCGUGCAGGUCAGUGGUGUUACACACAUUCAUGCUGUUGCAGGCAUGCAGGUCGGUAGUGUUACACAUUCAUGCUGUUGCAGGCGUGCAGGUCGGUGGUGUUGCACAUUCAUGCUGUUGCAGGCAUGCAGGUCGGUGGUGUUACAUUCACGCUGUUGCAGGAGUACAGGUCAGUGGUGUUACACACAUUCAUGCUGUUGUGCAGCUAUCACUUCCAUCUCCAGAGCCCUUUUCAUCUUAAAACUGAAGCUCUCCCAUCACACAGUGACCCUUCA
rnacentral:lncRNA from 1 species